ACGACAUAAUUACUAUGGAAUAUCUCUUAUUUUACCACAGGGUUAUUACCGUUUUCUAGAUCACUUCGCAUUCAGUACACUACUGCAUAAUCAUCAAUAAAUCGUGAAGGUUAAUACCGCGAGAAAAAAUAUUGGCCUCGCGAUUUUCGCUAUAUCUACCAAUCGGAAGGGCAGAGGUUUUAGUUCCGAACAGACGUCGAUUGAAGACAAAUUGCCAAAAUGUACAAAGCCAGGUCUCUAAUUGUUGUUUUGGUGCUAUUUGUUCUGUUCUUAUCAGUUAAUUCUCAAGGCAGCAACACUGGACCUGUUUUGUUCCCAACUGUACGGAACGACCCCAGCAAUCCCACACCAGAAAAUGCAAACUUCGACUUUUUCAAAUAAUGGCAAUCUCUAUUAAACGCAAAAAUAAACGUUAAUUUUUAA